rnacentral:rRNA from 1 species
AACGAACGCUGGCGGCAUGCCUAACACAUGCAAGUCGAACGAGACCUUCGGGUCUAGUGGCGCACGGGUGCGUAACGCGUGGGAACCUGCCCUUAGGUUCGGAAUAAUUCCCCGAAAGGGGUGCUAAUACCGGUUAAUGUCUUCGGACCAAAGAUUUAUCGCCUUUGGCUGGGCGCGGGUUGGAUUAGCCAGUUGGUAGUGUAAAAGCCUACCAAGGCGACGUUCCAUAGCUGGUCUGGGAGGAUGAUCAGCCACACUGGGACUGAGGCACGGCCCAGUCUCCUACGGGAGGCAGCAGUAGGGAAUAUUGUGCAAUGGGCGAAGGCCUGAUCCAGCAAUGCCGCGUGAGUGAUGAAGGCCUUAGGGUUGUAAAGCUCUUUUACCCGGGAUGAUAGUGACGGUACCGGGAGAAGAAGCACCGGCUAACUCCGUG